rnacentral:snoRNA from 1 species
GGAGGCAAGUGAUGUUUAAACAAAAUCUUAUACUACACACUGAAAUUUGAUGAAGAAAAUUAACUCUCAAUUAAUUUUCUGAUGCCUCC